rnacentral:rRNA from 1 species
AUUGAACGCUGGCGGCAGGCCUAACACAUGCAAGUCGAGCGAGCGGCGGACGGGUGAGUAAUGUAUGGGGACUGCCCGAUAGAGGGGGAUAACUACUGGAAACGGUACCUAAUACGCCAUACUUCCGGUUAACCCAUAUGGGAUUGGUAAGAAGGUGAGGUAAUGGCUCACCUAGGCGACGAUCCCUAGCGGGUCUGAGAGGAUGAUCAGCCACACUGGGACUGGGACACGGCCCAGACUCCUACGGAGGCAGCAGUGGGGAAUAUUGCACAAUGGGCGCAAGCCUGAUGCAGCCAUGCCGCGUGUAUGAAGAAGGCCCUAGGGUUGUAAAGUACUUUCAGUCGGGAGGCGUUACCGACAGAAGAAGCACCGGCUAACUCCGUGCCAGCAGCCGCGGUAAUAC